GAAAACGCAGGCAGUAGCAAUAUCCACAUGUAGCAAAUCAAUGGGUUAUAAUCAUAAUAAUAGGCAAUAGUAUUAGGUAGAUAUAAAGACUAUGCAAUAACAACACAGCAACAAAGAACCAAAACCUGUCAAUCCCAAAUCGAUGAGUUAUAAAAUAGUAAUAAAAUAAUUGAUCAUUGAUUCAUAAAAGCACAAGAAGAGAA
rnacentral:lncRNA from 1 species